AGAGUUUGAUCAUGGCUCAGAGCGAACGCUGGCGGCAUGCUUAACACAUGCAAGUCGCACGGGCAGUAGCGAUAUUGUCAGUGGCGGACGGGUGAGUAACGCGUAGGAAUCUAUCUUUGGAUGGGGGACAACCGUGGGAAACUACGGCUAAUACCGCAUAACGCCUGAGGGCCAAAGCUUGAGAGAGCGUCUGAAGAGGAGCCUGCGUCUGAUUAGCUAGUUGGUGGGGUAAAGGCCUACCAAGGCUUCGAUCAGUAGCUGGUCUGAGAGGAUGAUCAGCCACAUUGGGACUGAGACACGGCCCAAACUCCUACGGGAGGCAGCAGUGGGGAAUAUUGGACAAUGGGCGCAAGCCUGAUCCAGCAAUGCCGCGUGGGUGAAGAAGGUUUUCGGAUUGUAAAGCCCUUUUGGCGGGGACGAUGAUGACGGUACCCGCAGAAUAAGCUCCGGCUAACUUCGUGCCAGCAGCCGCGGUAAUACGAAGGGGGCUAGCGUUGCUCGGAAUGACUGGGCGUAAAGGGCGCGUAGGCGGACUGCACAGUCAGGCGUGAAAUUCCUGGGCUUAACCUGGGGACUGCGUCUGAGACGUGUGAUCUAGAGUGAGGAAGAGGGUCGUGGAAUUUCCAGUGUAGAGGUGAAAUUCGUAGAUAUUGGAAAGAACACCGGUGGCGAA
rnacentral:rRNA from 1 species